rnacentral:rRNA from 1 species
UGAGGAAUAUUGGUCAAUGGGCGAUGGCCUGAACCAGCCAAGUAGCGUGAAGGAUGACUGCCCUAUGGGUUGUAAACUUCUUUUAUAAAGGAAUAAAGUCGGGUAUGCAUACCCGUUUGCAUGUACUUUAUGAAUAAGGAUCGGCUAACUCCGUGCCAGCAGCCGCAGUAAUACGGAGGAUCCGAGCGUUAUCCGGAUUUAUUGGGUUUAAAGGGAGCGUAGAUGGAUGUUUAAGUCAGUUGUGAAAGUUUGCGGCUCAACCGUAAAAUUGCAGUUGAUACUGGAUGUCUUGAGUGCAGUUGAGGCAGGCGGAAUUCGUGGUGUAGCGGUGAAAUGCUUAGAUAUCACGAAGAACUCCGAUUGCGAAGGCAGCCUGCUAAGCUGCAACUGACAUUGAGGCUCGAAAGUGUGGGUAUCAAACAGG